rnacentral:rRNA from 1 species
UACGUAGGGUGCGAGCGUUGCCCCGGAUUUAUUGGGCGUAAAGGGCGCGCAGGCGGCUACGCACGUCCGUUGUGAAAUCGCUCGGCUCAACUGGGCGGGGGUCAGCGGAUACGGCGUAGCUGGAGCAAGCUAGGGGGGCAAUGGAAUUCCCGGUGUAGUGGUGGAAUGCGUAGAUAUCGGGAGGAACACCAGUGGCGAAGGCGGUUGCCUGGAGCUUUGCUGACGCUGAGGUGCGAAAGCGUGGGGAGCAAACAGG